rnacentral:pre_miRNA from 1 species
GUGCAUUGUAGUUGCAUUGCAUGGUCGGUUUAAGAUGUGCAGUGUUUCUGCAGUGCAAACC